rnacentral:rRNA from 1 species
UACGAAGGGGGCUAGCGUUGCUCGGAAUCACUGGGCGUAAAGGGUGCGUAGGCGGGUCUUUAAGUCCGGGGGGAAAUCCUGGAGCUCAACUCCAGAACUGCCUUCGAUACUGAAGAUCUUGAGUUCGGGAGAGGUGAGUGGAACUGCGAGUGUAGAGGUGAAAUUCGUAGAUAUUCGCAAGAACACCAGUGGCGAAGGCGGCUCACUGGCCCGAUACUGACGCUGAGGCACGAAAGCGUGGGGAGCAAACAGG